AACGAACGCUGGCGGCAUGCCUAACACAUGCAAGUCGAACGAGACCUUCGGGUCUAGUGGCGCACGGGUGCGUAACGCGUGGGAACCUGCCUUUAGGUUCGGAAUAACUCAGAGAAAUUUGAGCUAAUACCGGAUGAUGUCUUCGGACCAAAGAUUUAUCGCCUUUAGAUGGGCCCGCGUUGGAUUAGCUAGUUGGUGGGGUAAAGGCCUACCAAGGCGACGAUCCAUAGCUGGUCUGAGAGGAUGAUCAGCCACACUGGGACUGAGACACGGCCCAGACUCCUACGGGAGGAAGCAGUGGGGAAUAUUGGACAAUGGGCGAAAGCCUGAGCCAGCAAUGCCGCGUGAGUGAUGAAGGCCUUAGGGUUGUAAAGCUCUUUUACCCGAGAUGAUAAUGACAGUAUCGGGAGAAUAAGCUCCGGCUAACUCCGUG
rnacentral:rRNA from 1 species